CCUACGGGGGACAGCAGUGAGGAAUAUUGGUCAAUGGGCGAGAGCCUGAACCAGCCAAGUCGCGUGAAGGAUGAAGGCUCUAUGGUUUGUAAACUUCUUUUAUAUGGGAAUAAAGUGAGGAACGUGUUCCUUUUUGUAUGUACCAUAUGAAUAAGCAUCGGCUAACUCCGUGCCAGCAGCCGCGGUAAUACGGAGGAUGCGAGCGUUAUCCGGAUUUAUUGGGUUUAAAGGGUGCGUAGGUGGUUAAUUAAGUCAGUUGUGAAAGUUUGUGGCUCAACCAUAAAAUUGCCGUUGAAACUGGUUGACUUGAGUAUAGUAGAGGUAGGCGGAAUGCGUGGUGUAGCGGUGAAAUGCAUAGAUAUCACGCAGAACUCCGAUUGCGAAGGCAGCUUACUAAACUAUAACUGACACUGAAGCACGAAAGUGUGGGUAUCAAACAGGAUUAGAUACCCGUGUAGUC
rnacentral:rRNA from 1 species